CACUGUUAGCAUUACUAAUAUUAAUGCAAAUUAUGAUAUGAUUAUAUGAUCCUUGUGGUCACAAUUAUUAUACUUAUUUGUAUUAUUUUAUUGGUUUUGUCAGCAUGCACUUCUCCUCUAGUAGAACGUCGCGACCCGUUAAAUGUUUAUUUAUGAGUCACAUGGUAGUCUUAUGUAUUUUAUACGCAAGACCAGUGAAUUUCUAAUAAACUGUUUGACGGUAUCUAAAAUGGUAUUGAGCCGCAAAUUUUUUUUGCGUUAAAUUUAUUACAAGCUAGGCUUACUUUAAGCAGUACGAAUUUUAUGUCGUCGUUUAAACUAGUCUGCUGUUAGUGAUAAUAUCUUUAACUGGCUUAAUUACCGGUCAGCGAUGCUACUGCUUUGGGUACUUACAGGACCCGUCUUGAAACACGGACCAAGGAGUCUAACAUGGGCGCGAGUCAUUGGGAUUAUUUUUAAAACAAACCUAAAGGCGCAAUGAAAGUAAAGAUUGUCUUUAUGACAAUUGAGGGAAGAUGGGUUACGUUACGAUGUAAUCCCGCAUUCCCGGGAUGUCUUAUUCUCAUU
rnacentral:rRNA from 1 species